GUCAAAAAACGGCUCAAUAUACAUGCUAGUCGACACACACAACCACGCCCAAUCCGUGCAUCGUCAUUCCUCGUGUUCAAUGAAUCGAGGCGUCCGACUCGCUGAAGCGCGCGAGCGUCUAGGCUGGCCCACCCGCGCGGGCAACACCAGCAUGUUUCUCGAUUUUGUAUUUUUCAAGUUUUUUUUUUCUUUUUUUUUCUUUUUAUAUACUUUAAAAUAUCUCUACUCCUAAUGUCUGACUUGGUGAAUAAUCUUCACGUUUUAUUUUCGUCUGGUCUUUUUUUCGUUGGUUCUUUUUGGUCUCACCUCCCCUCAUCACUCCCCGUUAAUUUUUUCUUCUUCGCACUUCAAACGAAUCGCGUCUGAUACUCCUUUCAUUUAUUCGUGCUUGCUUUGGCAGGUGUCAAUUCAAUUCAAUCAUGUAAAUAUUUGGUAAUUAAGAAUUCAGAAAUAAUAUCAUAUACAUGAGAUCACUUUCCAAACAUAUCACCUCCCUAUCCGAUUUAUUUCUCCCACCGAUUCCCUUUCAAACUUAGCUUCACUAGAAAAAAAUAGAACCGUAGAAGGCACGCCCUCACGUGAUCACCUAUCACAAUCUCCACCCUACGCACGCACCAAAGAAACCCACCCGGCACCAAACGCCGCUCCUCUCGAUCCCCUCAAGUAAACGCGGCCACCGUCGUGCGAUCUUCCUGACACAGACGCCGCCACCGCCUCCUUCCCACGUACGGCGUCCCCCACGUCCAUGGGGACGGCGCCCGCGUCCUACACUGACCCUCCCCCCUCAUAUAGGUUGGUCGUUGAUGGAGUGGGAUGUGCCACUGCGGUUUGGGGAGGCGCAGCCACGAUCUGGUUGGGAUCUCAGUGUGGACUCGUUCUCUGCGAUGGAGGAUGGCGCUGCCUCCCUGGCAAAUGGGAUCGGAGGAAGGGGCUCUACGUCGUGAAUGUCGGCGAGGCAGCGGCCGAAGGUGAGCCCAGCGGUGAAAAUGGGUGUUCGUCCCAUGAAAUAGGCGGCCGCGAAGGGCGGAUCUGAGGCCACCCCAAUCGCCGGUGGCCCUUCCUCCCAUCGCUCAUUGCCUCCAUUCUCUCCCUCCUCUAAAUCUUCGUCGCCCUGCCUCUGAUUCUGGCCGACGCCAUCCGGCUCUCGCAUCGGCCACCACCAGCACGGCUACGGACGAGGCGCAAUCGUAGACGUCGCCGCCGCCAUCCUCAUCGACCUCCUCCACCAUCCUUCCCAGCCGUUGCCGGGGGCACCCGCCAUCUGCGCUCUAGCCCACCCGCUCCCUCCUCUCCCCUCCCCCCCUGCCUGCCAGCCCCGCGAUCCACCGCACAGAUGGCAGGUACUGGAGUGACCUCCUCCCCAGCGGAUCCGGCCUCCUCCGAUGGAGAUCCAUCCUGGGCACCGCCUUAUUCUCCUGCGUGCACGUCUAUAUCAACGUCUCAUUCCACCUCACCUGAGCCUUUACCUUCCCACCUCUGCUUCAGAUCGACAUCAGUUUGCAAGGUAUGUGCUUGAUUGUUCCGAACUGGAUCGAUGGAUUAUGCAAGGUACUUUGUGUGUCGUCAUUGACGGCAAUCGUCACGCCAUGCUACCAUCGGAGGGCUCCCGCAUCGAUGAUUAGGGUCUUCCGAACUGCACAAGCUCCAUUGAGAAGGAUGUUUUUAAUUCUGGUUUUGCCUACAUGCUUUCUUUGCCUGUGUCUACUUAGCUAAUGUCUUCUUAUAGAUAGUAGCUGCUGAAGUGGUGUCACAGUUGUUCACUAUAAGGAAACAACCAUGAUAACAAAAGUAUAUAUUCCCUGACCUUUGACCUGAAGUACUUUUUCAUUAGAAACUUGCAACAGCCAGGCAUUGAAAUUAGCAACAGCUUCGUACGUAUUGAACUAAUUUGCAGCAACACGUACUAAAUUACUCCACUAUGGACUACAUAUAUUUAGGAACGGAGGGAGUACAGCAAACAUGAUCUCCUCUUCCAGUAAGCUAGUGGUAACCAUCUUUGUCCCUGAUUUGCUGGACUACUUAGUGCUUACAGAAGUAAGCUUGUUAUUAUUUUGUGAUCUCUUGCAGAUAUGUACAAUAUGUUAUGGGAAGAUUGCGGGAACUUCUGAACCGGUCGUCCAGUAGUAGGUGCAGGUGCUGCCGGUUGACGGUGGCCUAACCAUUAGUGUAACUGAAAGUGAACCAGGGCGAUGUGCAGAAAAAAAUCUUAGCACAUAGGGUAGUACUCCCUUCGUAUGUAUAUCACUUCCGAAUACAAGUUCAGGUUAUUAGGUAGUACUCUUGAAUUUCAGGAUUGAUACUUGAAGAUUUUAAAAGGUUACUAAAUUUUGUACCAACUCUACUCUUAUGUAUAAGAAGAACAUGCUCUAAAAUAUUGAUAAUUCAUAUGAAAGUAAUCAUUUGAUUAUUAAAUCAUGUUGCUAAUAAGAUAAGUUCUUGUCACUUAUUUCUUAA